rnacentral:rRNA from 1 species
GACGAACGCUGGCGGCGUGCUUAACACAUGCAGGUCGAACGGUAAGGCCCUUCGGGGUACACGAGUGGCGAACGGGUGAGUAACACGUGGGUGAUCUGCCCUGCACUUCGGGAUAAGCCUGAGAAACUGGGUCUAAUACCGGAUAGGACUCCGGACUGCAUGGUCUGGGGUGGAAAGCUUUUGCGGUGUGGGAUGGGCCCGCGGCCUAUCAGCUUGUUGGUGGGGUGAUGGCCUACCAAGGCGACGACGGGUAGCCGGCCUGAGAGGGUGACCGGCCACGCUGGGACUGAGAUACGGCCCAGACUCAUACGGGAGGCAGCAGUGGGGAAUAUUGCACACUGGGCGCAAGCCUGAUGCAGCGACGCCGCGUGGGGGAUGACGGCCUUCGGGUUGUAAACCUCUUUCAGCAUCGACGAAGCGAAAGUGACAGUAGGUGUAGAAGAAGGACCGGCCAACUACGUGCCAGCCGCCGCCGUAA